rnacentral:rRNA from 1 species
GAUGAACGCUGGCGGCGUGCCUAAUACAUGCAAGUCGAGCGAAUGGAUUAAGAGCUUGCUCUUAUGAAGUUAGCGGCGGACGGGUGAGUAACACGUGGGUAACCUGCCCAUAAGACUGGGAUAACUCCGGGAAACCGGGGCUAAUACCGGAUAACAUUUUGAACCGCAUGGUUCGAAAUUGAAAGGCGGCUUCGGCUGUCACUUAUGGAUGGACCCGCGUCGCAUUAGCUAGUUGGUGAGGUAACGGCUCACCAAGGCAACGAUGCGUAGCCGACCUGGGAGGGGGAUAGGCCACACCGGGAGUGAGACACGGCCCAGGUUCCUACGGGAGGCAGCGGGAGGGAAUCUUCCGCAAUGGACGAAAGUCUGACGGAGCAACGCCGCGUGAGUGAUGAAGGCGCUCGGGUCGUAGAACUCUGUUGUUAGGGAAGAACAAGUGCGAGUUGAAUAAGCUGGCACCUUGACGGUACCUAACCAGAAAGCCACGGCUAACUACGUGCCAGCAGCCGCAGUAA